AGCAGCCGCGGUAAUUCCAGCUCCAAUAGCGUAUAUUAAAGUUGUUGCAGUUAAAAAGCUCGUAGUUGAAUUUCGGGGUUCUACCGUUGGUCGGGCUUUGUCUGUACUGGCGUGUAGAAUUUCUACCUUCUGGGGAACUAUCAUGUUAUUAAUUUAACGUGGUGGGAAACCAGGACCUUUACCUUGAAAAAAUUAGAGUGUUCAAAGCAGGCUUAUGUCUGAAUACAUUAGCAUGGAAUAAUAGAAUAGGACGGUGGUCCUGUUUUGUUGGUUUCUGAAUCACCGUAAUGAUUAAUAGGGAUAGUUGGGGGCAUUAGUAUUCAAUUGUCAGAGGUGAAAUUCUUGGAUUUAU
rnacentral:rRNA from 1 species